GGAACGCUGACCAAUCCAAAAGCGCGUCUGCGGAACGGCGCAUGCGCAGUGUGCGUUCUCCCUGCUCCUCUGGUUUCUCCUUCAGUGUGUCCUCUCACCACCGUCCAGAAGGGAAGCGCGAAGUAGGAGCGGUACAACGGAAUAUACGCUGGCAUGGCAGUCCCCCCUGCAUACUCUGACCUCGGGAAAGCCGCCAAAGAUAUAUUUAGCAAAGGCUAUGGCUUUGGAACAGUUAAACUGGACCUCAAGACCAAGUCCCAGAGUGGAGUUGAGUUCUCAACUGGUGGAUACAGUAGUACAGAUACAGGAAAAAGUUCUGGUAAUCUGGAGACUAAGUACAAAGUGAAGGAGCUAGGCCUGACCUUCAACCAGAAAUGGAACACUGACAACACACUGACCACCGAGGUCACCUUGGAAGAUCAGCUGGCUAAGGGACUGAAGUUGGCUUUGGACACCUCCUUUGUGCCCAACACUGGGAAAAAGAGUGCUAAACUGAAGACAGGAUAUAAGCAUGACUUUGUAAAUGUGGGCUGCGAUAUUGAUUUUGACCUUGCUGGGCCCACAAUUCAUGCAGCAGCAGUGGUUGGCUAUGAGGGCUGGCUAGCUGGCUAUCAGAUGGCUUUCGACACUGCCAAGUCCAAACUGGCUCAGAAUAACUUUGCUCUGGGAUACAAAGCUGGUGACUUUCAGCUGCACACCAAUGUUAAUGAUGGUACUGAGUUUGGUGGCUCCAUCUAUCAGAAAGUGAAUGACCAAUUGGAGACGGCAGUAAAUCUGGCCUGGACAGCAGGCAGCAACAACACCCGCUUUGGCAUUGCUGCUAAAUAUCAACUGGACAAGGAUGUGUCUAUCUCUGUGAAAGUAAACAAUGCCAGUCUGGUUGGAGCUGGAUACACACAGACUCUGCGGCCAGGUGUGAAGCUCACUCUCUCAGCCCUGAUUGAUGCAAAGAACUUAAAUGCUGGUGGACACAAGGUGGGCCUGGGCUUUGAGCUGGAGGUAUAACGAUAAAGAGAGGAACAAGAAGACAAGGGGCAUAGAUUGAAACUAACAGCUGACAACAUGACUGCCAGUGCCACAGAGUAAAGGUCCUAGGAGCAAUUUUAAAACUACUUUUUUUUCACUGCACUGGGUUGUAAAUCCUUCUGUUUCCCUUUUGAAUAGAAUUUCAAUUUUCUGCAAAUUCAAACUGUGAUUAGUACUCCAAAUUUUACUGGAUCAGUCUCAAAAUGUGAUUUGCUGGUAAAAACUCUUACUGCUGGAAAAGGGAUCAAGUAAGUUGUGAAUAUCAUCUCCUCAUUGUGUUGUGUGGAAAGUCAACUUAUGGAGAUGACAACAGAUGCCUCUGUCCUUUUUCACUCACAUUUAUAUAAAUUACUUUGAUUUAAUUGCCAUCAGACAGAUAACUCUGUAAUAUCUGUAUUUUUGUAGGAAUUACAGACAAAGGAUUCAUUUGCUGUCUUUACCUUUUCUCACAGUUGCUUUACUCUGACUGUGCUGUGGUGAAUGACUAGACUAAAAAAUUAAUAAAAUUGGAGAUUCCAAUAAAAAGGUGUGUUGGUUCAAA